rnacentral:rRNA from 1 species
AUUGAACGCUGGCGGCAGGCUUAACACAUGCAAGUCGAGCGGGGAAGAGUAGCUUGCUCCUUGACCUAGCGGCGGACGGGUGAGUAAUGCUUAGGAAUCUGCCUAUUAGUGGGGGACAACAUCUCGAAAGGGAUGCUAAUACCGCAUACGUCCUACGGGAGAAAGCAGGGGACCUUCGGGCCUUGCGCUAAUAGAUGAGCCUAAGUCGGAUUAGCUAGUUGUUGGGGUAAAGGCCUACCAAGGCGACGAUCUGUAGCGGGUCUGAGAGGAUGAUCCGCCACACUGGGACUGAGACACGGCCCAGACUCCUACGGGAGGCAGCAGUGGGGAAUAUUGGACAAUGGGGGGAACCCUGAUCCAGCCAUGCCGCGUGUGUGAAGAAGGCCUUUUGGUUGGAAAGCACUUUAAGCGAGGAGGAGGCUACCGAGAUUAAUACUCUUGGAUAGUGGACGUUACUCGCAGAAUAAGCACCGGCUAACUCUGUG